rnacentral:RNase_P_RNA from 1 species
UAAGUAGAUUGCCUUAUCGCUCUUGUGCUGAAUUUGUUUCAACACAUGGGAGGAAAGUCCGAACACCAUAGUGCAACAUAGUGGUUAAUUACCACCAGUCGUGAGGCUAGGAAAAGUGCAACAGAAAGUAUGUACAGGUUAUGCUGUAGUGAAAUCAGGUAAACUCUAUGUGGUGCAAUGUCAUGUAAACCAGUGUUUGAGGGCUGCACGCUCGAUGCUGGAGGGUAGGCAGCUAAAGUAUAUUGGUAACAAUAUACUCAGAUAAAUGAUAAGGUAUUCUUGUGUUUGUUUUAGGAGAUUCUGAAACAAGGUCAGGAUGAACAGAAUUCGGCUUAUAGAUUUACUUGAAUA